AUAUUUAAUAUCAAGAUUGCAAGUACUUAUUAAGAUCAAAUUUUCCCUGGUAAGGAAAAUUCUAAAUUGUUAGUUGCCUGGUUAUUUUGCGUACAUCACACAAUAAAUUUUAAAUAUGUAAUUGCAUAUUCUUUUUUCUCCCUAUUGGAAAGGGUACAUUGUUUUCUGAGGAUACAUAGGAGCUGCAAUAAGAUUGUUGUCUCUUCCUUCAAUUGAAGAAGUUGGAAAAUACGUAUUGUAUAGAUUGAAGACUGCAGAAUAAAGUAUAGUGUCAUGCUAAGACACCUGAAUGCUCUGUCAGAGAACUGAAUUGCUGCAUGCCCCUGCCAGAGAGUUCUUGUGUGAUGCUGCGCAAGUGAGGUUUCCAGUCAGGCCCCUCUCUGUGUGCUUGUGUAUUGUAUUGACCUGCUGUGUCUAGGAUGAGUAGGUGAAGUCAGGAUGUUCACAUGAAGUUUGGUGAAACCGUCUGUUGUCAGGCAUUUCAACAUUAUUUGUCAGUUUUGACUCUAGCUGUUUCUUGGCUUUAAUCCUCAUCCCAGUUCCAUGUGCAUAAAAUUGUGAUAAUACUACAAUGCUAGUUCACAUUAUAAUUAUGGACCUACCAUUGGGUCUUAAUUUCUUGUGGUAUCCCUAAGUGAUAAGCAUAAAAGCAUAUGGUAUAUGCUUUAUUAUAAGAAUA